GAUCAUUACAGAAUGAAAAGUGCUUAACUGCAUUUUUUCUUACACAUGUGUUUUUCUUUUUUUGAAAACUUUGCUUUGGUAGGCCUUCUAUAUGGGGCCUGCCAGAGAUUAAACUCAACCAAAUUUUAUUUAAUGUCAACCGAUUAUUUAAUAGUCAAAACUUUCAACAACGGAUCUCUUGGUUCUCGCAUCGAUGAAGAACGCAGCGAAAUGCGAUAAGUAAUAUGAAUUGCAGAUAUUCGUGAAUCAUCGAAUCUUUGAACGCACAUUGCGCCCUUUGGUAUUCCAAAGGGCAUGCCUGUUUGAGCGUCAUUUCUCCCUCAAACCCUCGGGUUUGGUGUUGAGCGAUACGCUGGGUUUGCUUGAAAGAAAGGCGGAGUAUAAACUAAUGGAUAGGUUUUUUCCACUCAUUGGNACAAACUCCAAAACUUCUUCCAAAUUCGACCUCAAAUCAGGUAGGACUACCCGCUGAACUUAAGCAUAUCAAUAAGCGGAGGAAAAGAAACCAACAGGGAUUGCCUUAGNAGCGGCGAGUGAAGCGGCAAAAGCUCAAAUUUGAAAUCUGGCACUUUCAGUGUCCGAGUUGUAAUUUGAAGAAGGUAUCUUUGGGUCUGGCUCUUGUCUAUGUUUCUUGGAACAGAACGUCACAGAGGGUGAGAAUCCCGUGCGAUGAGAUGUCCCAGACCUAUGUAAAGUUCCUUCGAAGAGUCGAGUUGUUUG
rnacentral:rRNA from 1 species